rnacentral:rRNA from 1 species
GACGAACGCUGGCGGCGUGCCUAAUACAUGCAAGUAGAACGCUGAAGGAGGAGCUUGCUUCUCUGGAUGAGUUGCGAACGGGUGAGUAACGCGUAGGUAACCUGCCUGGUAGCGGGGGAUAACUAUUGGAAACGAUAGCUAAUACCGCAUAAUAGUAGAUGUUGCAUGACAUUUGCUUAAAAGGUGCAAUUGCAUCACUACCAGAUGGACCUGCGUUGUAUUAGCUAGUUGGUGGGGUAACGGCUCACCAAGGCGACGAUACAUAGCCGACCUGAGAGGGUGAUCGGCCACACUGGGAAUGAGACACGGCCCAGACUCCUACGGGAGGCAGCAGUAGGGAAUCUUCGGCAAUAGACGGAAGUCUGACCGAGCAACGCCGCGUGAGUGAAGAAGGUUUUCGGAUCGUAAAGCUCUGUUGUAAGAGAAGAACGAGAGUGAGAGUGGAAAGUUCACACUGUGACGGUAUCUUACCAGAAAGGGACGGCUAACUACGUG